GACGAACGCUGGCGGCGUGCUUAACACAUGCAAGUCGAACGAAGAGCGAUGGAAGCUUGCUUCUAUCAAUCUUAGUGGCGAACGGGUGAGUAACGCGUAAUCAACCUGCCCUUCAGAGGGGGACAACAGUUGGAAACGACUGCUAAUACCGCAUACGAUCUAAUCUCGGCAUCGAGGAUAGAUGAAAGGUGGCCUCUACAUGUAAGCUAUCACUGAAGGAGGGGAUUGCGUCUGAUUAGCUAGUUGGAGGGGUAACGGCCCACCAAGGCGAUGAUCAGUAGCCGGUCUGAGAGGAUGAACGGCCACAUUGGGACUGAGACACGGCCCAGACUCCUACGGGAGGCAGCAGUGGGGAAUCUUCCGCAAGAGACGAAAGUCUGACGGAGCAACGCCGCGUGAGUGAUGACGGCCUUCGGGUUGUAAAGCUCUGUUAAUCGGGACGAAAGGCCUUCUUGCGAACAGUUAGAAGGAUUGACGGUACCGGAAUAGAAAGCCACGGCUAACUACGUG
rnacentral:rRNA from 1 species